GAGGAUGCUCUUGAUCCGUUCCACCUUCCGAUGUCGGUCCUCCAUCUCUUGAGGACUCAGAGGCUCCUCUGGCUCUAAAUCCACGUAUCGCUCUGGAAUCAACACUUUCUGAGGCCGUCGAGGGUCUGAGGAGUCUCUGUCGCAGAGCUGAAGCUCAGCCAAUCGUCGGAAUGCGAUCGGGGUCUCUCUUUGUGUUCAGGGGGCCUCUCCUCCCCCUGAACGCUUCGCACAGCUUGAGCCUCCUCGCCCUGGACGGCCCUUUCCAGCAGCUGCAGGUCAAACUCCUGCUCUCUCCUCCACUGCACGAAAUGUACACACACAAAAACACACAUAUGACACCGACACACCAGGACAACUUGUUUCAAGCAGAUUGUCGAGAUUAUGGAAAGGCAUGUGAGCAAUGAUUUCACAUAUACAUUAUAUCCAUCUUAAAUCCAUGUGCUAAUACACUGCAUCCUUAAAGCUGCUGGGUUAAAAACAACACAUAAAAAAGGCAAGUACGGUAUGUUAUUGUACUUGUGCAAUGAGUUUGGGACAGUCUAAAAUGGUUAAUGUUAGUGUAAUUAAAAAAAAAAACAAUGUUGCUUAAUGUCAGAAAACAUUUUCCUCAUUUAAGCUAGUGGGCAACUAUGGAGAGGAACGCGUUAAUAAUAAAAACAUCCAAAAUAAUAAAUUCAGAAAUUGAUGUUGGUAUAGGACAGGAAGCUGACGUUAUUAUAGACGUUCCCCUGAAUCCUUACUGGUGAGGACAAAGAGCCUACUAGUACAUUGAUCUAAAAAAGAAAAGCAAAACAUACAUUCUACCACUGUCGUCGUUUGUCUAGUGCACAAUUAUUUUGUUAGUGAGGCCAAAGUGCUUCCUUUUACAUGAACCUUAAGCUGUCAAACACACAAAAGGCUUUUUCACAGGGGACUACAACAUUUGUGUUUUUUUGCCUGGAAUGAAAUUGCUUGUCUUUACACCACUGAAAAGUGGAAAGGUUGUGUGUGGUUAAGAACCUGGGGGGGGGCGUGAAACAGUGGGAGAAAAAAUACAGUAGCAUGCACACUAACAUACAUAAUAAACAACAUGCUACUAAUGAGCUACACACAAGGCCAGUAAAGUGAAACAAACAUAACACACUCAGAUGAAGACACUUUCACCAAACAUACCUAAAAAUGAAAGAAAAAGAAAACAAGAGCAUUCCAUACAUGUUUAUUCAUAUGAGAACUUGAAAGGAACUUGAAAGAAAACACUGACAAAACGCUACCAAUGUUUUAUUUCCAGUUAUUUUGUAUACAAGACACUUUUUAGGUACACUUGCACAGGCUAGUAAGAGCCAAUACAAAGCUGCAUUAUCAUAUAAAGGCAUGCAUUUUGGAUGCAACUCUUGUAUUGGAUCUCAUGAUGUAUUGUAGCCAGUGACUGUGCGUAUUGCUGCUAAAUAAACUCGUAACUAUUCAUCUUUAAAAAAAAACGAGAUCCAGAAUGAUGACCUUUAUCAUAGUAAAAAUCAAGUAAAAUUGUUAUGAUGAAUUUGGAUGAAAAGUACUCUUACUCUCACACACAAACACGCACGCACGCGUUCAACCACACACACAACAUCUAGAUGAUAAGACUAUGAAAGCAUCCAUGUUAGGAUUUAUUUUCUAUCGGCAGCAAAAAUUUGUGGCAGUCUGGUUAUUGAUUAAAACAUGCAAAACAAGAUUCCAAUUUUCAAACUAUUUGUGUCCAUGGAGGAUGUGUUUUUCCGAUCACCCCUUCAUUACACCUUACACCAAUUACGUAAACACAUCUACUAUGUGUACUACAUAAUGCCAUAGUAAGAUAAUGGAUCAACAUUUACAAAUUUGCAGAUUUUCGUUUUUGGAACCUAUAUUCCAUUAUUUUCUGAAAAAA